AUUGAACGCUGGCGGCAGGCCUAACACAUGCAAGUCGAGCGGAUGAAAGGGGCUUGCUCCUGGAUUCAGCGGCGGACGGGUGAGUAAUACGCAGGAAUCUACCUAGUAGUGGGGGAUAACGUUUCGAAAGGGGCGCUAAUACCGCAUACGUUCUGAGGAAGAAAGCAGGGGAUCGCAAGACCUUGCGCUAUUAGAUGAGCUUGCGUCCGAUUAGCUAGUUGGUGGGGUAAAGGCCUACCAAGGCGACGAUCGGUAACUGGUCUGAGAGGAUGAUCAGUCACACUGGAACUGAGACACGGUCCAGACUCCUACGGGAGGCAGCAGUGGGGAAUAUUGGACAAUGGGGGCAACCCUGAUCCAGCCAUGCCGCGUGUGUGAAGAAGGCCUCGGUUGUAAG
rnacentral:rRNA from 1 species